rnacentral:tRNA from 2 species
GGGGUAUAGCUCAACUGGCUAGAGCGACGGCUUUGCAGGUCGUAGGUCAGGGGUUCGAGUCCCCUUAUCUCCAGGGAAAGCCCA